CAGCCACCAGGUGGCAGAUCUGAAAUUGAAGCAAGGUCUGUCCAACUCCUGAUACCACAUUCUUUGCUUUCAGGACCCCUCCUUGUUUAUUGAACCCCUUCUGUGGGAGUCAAAGUCCCCAAAUUUGGCUAGUGCCACUGUAGACCACAGCAUGGGCCAAUCCCUCCCUGAGAGCCUUUCCUCUGAACCUCCCAAAGCGAGAAUCUGUGCUUUCUCUCCAGGACCUGGCAGUGGAAUCCUUUUGUCCAACAAAACCAAAAUUUCUGGUUGAAGUCUAAGAAGAAGCCAUAGAGCCUGCCAACUCAGCCGCCUCAAAGAUGCCUCUGUGGAACCCCAGCGUUCCAAGGAACCCAGCUAGAGAACCAAAGGAAAUCCUGGAUCGCUCCCCAGCUGUACGACCCCCAACACAUGGCUCUACUCUCCAGCCACACUUCAUUGCAGAAUUGGAUCAUCUCAGAGCAGUUAUAUGGUCCUUCUUUCUGGAGGUAGGAAGCUGUUAUUCUUGGAAAUACCAGCCCAGGCUUGGCCGGGACACCCUGAGGAAAGAGGCAAUCUCCUGAACUCCAGCAUGUCAGGGGUGCCUCGAAGGCUUG